UACGGAGGGUGCGAGCGUUGUCCGGAAUCACUGGGCGUAAAGGGCGCGUAAGCGGCCUGAUAAGUAGGGGGUGAAAUCCUGCGGCUUAACCGCAGGGCUGCCUUCUAAACUGUCAGGCUAGAGCACGGUAGAGGCAGAUGGAAUUCCCGGUGUAGCGGUGGAAUGCGUAGAGAUCGGGAAGAACAUCAGUGGCGAAGGCGGUCUGCUGGGCCGUUGCUGACGCUGAGGCGCGACAGCGUGGGGAGCAAACAGG
rnacentral:rRNA from 1 species